GUAUAGCGAAAGCUAAUUGUAUUAGCUAGCAAUGGUUAAUACAAUAUCGACUAUGUCGACUAAAAUUCUAGGUAGAGUAAUGAUAAUGACAUUUUUUACCUAUGUGUCUUGACCAAGUCACGUGCCAGCAGUCGCGGCAAUACGUGGAAGACUAGUGUUAUUCAUCUUUAAUAGGUUUAAAGGGUACCUAGACGGUAUAUUUAGCCCAUAAAGGGUACUAAAUAAACUAGAGUUUAAUGUGAGGGGGUCUAUAGUACUCAUGGAGUAGAGAUGAAAUUCUUUCAUACCAUGGGGGACUGGCAGCGGCGAAAGCAACUCUUUAGGCAAAAACUGACGUUGAAGGACGAAGGCUAGUGUAACCAAAAGGAUUAGAUACCCCAGUAGUGCUGGCAGACAACGCUGAAUGCCAUAGAUUAGAGAUCAUAUUUAUUCUAUAAAUGAAAGUGUAAGCAUUCCACCUCAAGAGUAAUUUGGCAACAUGGGAAUUGAAAUCAUUAGACCGUUUCUGAAACCAGUAGUGAAGUAUGUUGUAUAACUAGACGAUACGCAAAAAACCUUACCACAAUUUGAAUAUUUUAUAAUUAUACAAGAGUUGCACGGCUGUCUUUAGUUAAUGUCGUGAGAUUCUGGUUAGUUCCAUUAAAUUAACGUAAACCCUUACUUUAUUUUUAUAUAAAGUAGUUCACCGCUAUAUUGGAUAUGAUAAAAGGGAC
rnacentral:rRNA from 1 species